UGAUAUUUCCCAUUCAUCUUCCAUUGAGAUUGAUAGGAUUACCAUAGUUAAACUCACCAUCUUGGCUUCUAAAAUUCUUCCAUGCCACUUUCUUACAAUACCCACAUUUUUUUUGUAACUCCUUUAUCUUUCUUGUUUUCAAGAACAUCCCCAAGAAUUUCUGCAGCAAAAAAAUCAGUUUUGGGAGUGAGUUGUGCAAUCACUUCAGGUUUAGCCUUUACCCAUUGCAGAUUCUAGUUCCCCACCAUCACCACCUUCAUCCUUCUCCUCCUCAUAGUCCAUCCUUGCACUAGACGUAGCAGUGACAAAAUCCUGCUCCAUCUCAGCACUAAAAUCCUGCUCCUCCACCUCAGUGCCUUGUCUUUCUUAUUAGAAGUUUCACAUGCGGCAUCUUGCUCUUUGCUUGGCUUUUCAAGAAGUUGAUCUUUAUUAAUAAAGGCUGCCAUAUUUUCCACUUCCAUUCCAUUUUCUAUAAAACCCUCUGGAAUUUUGUGAUUUCAGCUUUAAAUUCUCUUCCUUAGUGGCAAGUGAAGCAUAAACAUCAGCCAUUUCUUCAUUGUGAUCUAUAACUGGCUCUUCUGCAAUGUCCACAUCAUUAAUUGACACUUGCUUCUCUAUUUGGGGGCUUGAAAUCGCAUCUAUUGUAACAUUUUCCUUUUUCUUUUCAUUUUCUAUAAAACCUUCCAGCUCCAAGUCUCGAGAUUGGUCUUUGGAUUUUGCCUCUUACAUCAAUUUCUUACCGCCAUGAGAAAUUACCAUGUCCUCUUCGGGUUUUGUCUCUUUAGACAAUUUCUUCACCCUUUCUAUUUUCUCUUCUAACAACUUAUCCAAUUUCUUCCAUUUUUGAUACAGCAACUCCAAUUGACGUUCUUUUAUUCUUCUGUCAAUAAUUUCCAGCAUUCCCUUAAGAACCUUUUGUUCCCAACUUUGCACCUCCAUGAAUCAAGAAUUUCAAUAACAGGGUUUCAGUGGAAGGAAGGAAGUAAUCUUUGAUCAUACCUGAAACAGAAGCCUGAAAUAAAGAAAUAGAAGUGGAAACCCUAGAAAAUUGACCUGAAACUGAGAAAAGAAACUGGACAGGGAAUUGGAAAAGAAUAAGGAGAGUGAGGCUAAGGAGAAGGCUAUCUCCGUUGACAACAAGGCUAUUUUUCAUGGGAGUGGAGAUAAGCAGAAGAAGACUCGAAAGGUGGAACAAAACUUUCAAAUUACAGAUGGUUUUACGGAAAAUAAAAAAGAUUUCUCAAUGCAUGGGAGAACAUCAUCGGGGUUUGGAUUCAGAAGCUUCCCUUGUCAAUUCACGGUUUCAAGAAUUGGAGCUUGGACAUAUUUUAGAAGACAAACAUAGGAAGAGAGUGAGACUUGCUAAUGGCAACACU
rnacentral:misc_RNA from 1 species